UACGUAGGUGGCAAGAGUUGUCCGGAUUUAUUGGGCGUAAAGAGCGCGCAGGUGGUUGAUUAAGUCUGAUGUGAAAGCCCACGGCUUAACCGUGGAGGGUCAUUGGAAACUGGUCGACUUGAGUGCAGAAGAGGGAAGUGGAAUUCCAUGUGUAGCGGUGAAAUGCGUAGAGAUAUGGAGGAACACCAGUGGCGAAGGCGGCUUCCUGGUCUGUAACUGACACUGAGGCGCGAAAGCGUGGGGAGCAAACAGGAUUAGAUACCCGGGUA
rnacentral:rRNA from 1 species